rnacentral:rRNA from 1 species
AUUUACGGCCAUACCAUCCUGAAUACGCCUGAUCUCGUCUGAUCUCGGAAGCUAAGCAGGGUCAGGCCUGGUUAGUACUUGGAUGGGAGACCUCCUGGGAAUACCAGGUGCUAUAAGUG